rnacentral:rRNA from 1 species
GACAGAGGAUGCAAGCGUUAUCCGGAAUGAUUGGGCGUAAAGCGUCUGUAGGUGGCUUUUCAAGUCCGCCGUCAAAUCCCAGGGCUCAACCCUGGACAGGCGGUGGAAACUACCAAGCUGGAGUACGGUAGGGGCAGAGGGAAUUUCCGGUGGAGCGGUGAAAUGCAUUGAGAUCGGAAAGAACACCAACGAUGAAAACACUCUGCUGGGCCGACACUGACACUGAGAGAUGAAAGCUAGGGGGGCAAAUGGG